rnacentral:tRNA from 1 species
UUCCCUGUGGCUCAGUUGGUAGAGCAUGGUGUUCGCAACGCCAGGGUUGUGGGUUCGAUUCCCACGGGGGACC